rnacentral:sRNA from 1 species
ACAGAGCCGACCAUCUCCCACUCGAGCUGCCCCCGCCCUCUGGACCCGAGUGACUCAGGCCUUUGUUUGUCCUUCCUGGUAGAGGCGGGUUCCCUCCCUCGGCAAGAUGCCGGAGUGCUGGGAUGGGGUGGGGGAAGGCAACGCUGGAGCCGUGAAGCUGGCAGGGCUAGGGGACCCCAGGUGGAGCCCAGGGCACCUCCUCUCGCCGGGGCAUCAGGUACCCCGGCCCCAUUCUUCCUCAGGAGGGAGAGGCAGGGGCAGACUCACCCCCACCCCCGGGCCCCACACGCCUGCCCUGCCGGUUCCGCAGACGAUAGGUCACCCCGCACGCACGGAGGUGACGACGUCAGCACCUGCCCGCCCAUGCAGACCCUGUCCCCUGAAUUAUUGAUGCGGCUGACAGGCCGAACCACAGCACCACCAGCACCAACUCCCACACCGGUGCAAAGCCCGGCUCAAAGCCCCACUCCCCUCCAGUGCUCAAGGUCACAGGCGAGGGGAGACGGACCGACCGAGAGGAGCCACCACAGCCCCC